GGCUGAGCGUGAUGGGAUUUAUCUGCCGGACAUGCUCGGCAACGUCUGCGGAGUCUGAGGUUAGGAGGGUGGUCGCGCGGCCGUCCGGUUGGUGGUGGUUAGUGACGCCGGUUGGUGAUUGGCUUAUUCCCGCGUUCCGGCCAAACGUCCGUCAUGCCAAAGCUAACAGUCCUGCUGCCUAUGUCUACCACCACUGCUGGGAGGCCGCUCACGUUUUCUUUCUGUUGCACUAAUUCGGCUGUGACUGAGACCCCGUCCUGUCAUGGGGCUUUGGGCUUCCGUGUAUUUAUCACGUAUGUAACAUGUGCGAGCAUGAUGACACUUUUUUAUUUAUAUAAAUAAAAAUCAUUUGGAACGGC